UGUCUCUAAAGAUUAAGCCAUGCAUGUCUAAGUGUAAGCAAUUAUACGGCCAAACUGCGAAUGGCUCAUUAUAUCAGUUAUCGUUUACUUGAUAGUGCCUAUCCUACUUGGAUAACCGUGGUAAUUCUAGGGCUAAUACAUGCUACAACUCCCAACUUCGGAAGGGAUGCAUUUGUUGGAUACAGAACCAAUGCCCUCCGGGGCUCUCUGGUGAAUCACAACAACUUAGCGGAUCGCACGGCCUUGCGCCGGCGAUGGUUCAUUCAAAUUUCUGCCCUAUCAACUUUCGACGGCUGGGUAUUGGCCAGCCCUGGUGACAACGGGUAACGGAGGGUUAGGGCUCGACCCCGGAGAAGGAGCCUGAGAGACGGCUACUACAUCCAAGGAAGGCAGCAGGCGCGCAAAUUACCCAAUCCCGACUCGGGGAGGUAGUGACAAUAAAUACUGAUCCAGGGCUCUUUUGGGUCUUGGAAUUGGAAUGAGUACAAUUUAAAUCCCUUAACGAGGAACAAUUGGAGGGCAAGUCUGGUGCCAGCAGCCGCGGUAAUUCCAGCUCCAAUAGCGUAUAUUAACGUUGUUGAGGUUAAAAAGCUCGUAGUUGAACCUUGGCCUCGGCUAGCCGGUCCGCCUCACCGCGAGUACUGGUUCGGCCGGGGCUUUCCCUCUGGGGAACCUCAUGCCCUUCACUGGGUGUGCUGGGGAACCAGGACGUUUACUGUGAACAAAUCAGAUCGCUCAAAGAAGGCCUUCGCUCGAAUGCAUUAGCAUGGAAUAAUAGAAUAGGACGUGCGGUUCUAUUUUGUUGGUUUCUAGGACUGCCGUAAUGAUUAAUAGGGACAGUCGGGGGCGUCCGUAUUCAAUUGUCAGAGGUGAAAUUCUUGGACCAAUUGAAGACGAACUACUGCGAAAGCAUUCGCCAAGGAUGUUUUCAUUAAUCAGGAACGAAAGUUAGGGGAUCGAAGACGAUCAGAUACCGUCGUAGUCUUAACCAUAAACUAUGCCGAUUAGGGAUCGGACGAUGUUAUUUUUUGACUCGUUCGGCACCUUACGAUAAAUCAAAAUGUUUGGGCUCCUGGGGGAGUAUGGUCGCAAGGCUGAAACUAAAGAAAAUUAUACGGAAGAACAAGG
rnacentral:rRNA from 1 species